rnacentral:rRNA from 1 species
CCUACGUGAGGCAGCAGUGAGGAAUAUUGGUCAAUGGGCGCGAGCCUGAACCAGCCAAGUAGCGUGAAGGAUGACUGCCCUACGGGUUGUAAACUUCUUUUAUAAAGGAAUAAAGUGAGGCACGUGUGCCUUUUUGUAUGUACUUUAUGAAUAAGGAUUGGCUAACUCCGUGCCAGCAGCCGCGGUAAUACGGAGGAUCCGAGCGUUAUCCGGAUUUAUUGGGUUUAAAGGGAGCGUAGAUGGGUUGUUAGGUCAGUUGUGAAAGUUUGCGGCUCAACCGUAAAAUUGCAAUUGAUACUGGCAGUCUUGAGUACAGUUGAGGUAGGCGGAAUUCGUGGUGUAGCGGUGAAAUGCUUAGAUAUCACGAAGAACUCCGAUUGCGAAGGCAGCUUACUAAACUGCCACUGACAUUGAUGCUCGAAAGUGUGGGUAUCAAACAGGAUUAGAUACCCCGGUAGUC